GAUCAUGGCUCAGGAUGAACGCUAGCGGCAGGCCUAAUACAUGCAAGUCGGACGGGAGAGCCCCUCGGGGGCUGAGAGUGGCGGACGGGUGCGCAACGCGUAUGCAACCAACCCCCGGCCGGGGCAUAGCCGGUGGAAACGCCGGGUAAUGCGCCAUGGUCCCGUGGGAGGGCAUCCUCCUGUGGGCAAAGCGGAGACGCGGGCGGGACGGGCAUGCGUGCCAUUAGCUGGUCGGCGGGGUGACGGCCCACCGAGGCGACGAUGGCUAGGGGAUCUGAGAGGACGGUCCCCCACACUGGUACUGAGACACGGACCAGACUCCUGCGGGAGGCAGCAGUAAGGGAUAUUGGGCAAUGGUCGGAAGACUGACCCAGCCAUUGCCGCGUGAGGGAAUGAGGCCCUACGGGUCGUGAACCUCUUUUAUUCGGGGACAACAGCCCGGUCGAGAACCGGGUAUGAGGGUACCGAAGGAAUAAGCGUCGGCUAACUCCGUGCCAGCAGCUGC
rnacentral:rRNA from 1 species